rnacentral:rRNA from 1 species
UAAUUGAAGAGUUUGAUCAUGGCUCAGAUUGAACGCUGGCGGCAGGCCUAACACAUGCAAGUCGAGCGGUAACAGGGGAAGCUUGCUUCCCGCUGACGAGCGGCGGACGGGUGAGUAAUGUAUGGGGAUCUGCCCGAUAGAGGGGGAUAACUACUGGAAACGGUAGCUAAUACCGCAUAAUCUCU